rnacentral:lncRNA from 1 species
AUUCCUGAUUGCACACGAUGGGGAUAGCGAAAGUCGAAUGCCCCCUCCUUGGCUAUAUGCUGGCUAGCAGUCACCAAAAAGACCUAAUCGGUAGACCACCACUAUCUUCCAAAGCUUUCAUAAUUGAAUGGAGGUGGAAGGGCCACAGCUGGUGCUCCUCCCACCAAAUCUAGGCUGACAGUUGUUGGAAGACCACAAUCAACGGACUGCCACCCCUUCCC